rnacentral:rRNA from 1 species
UACGAAGGGGGCUAGCGUUGCUCGGAAUCACUGGGCGUAAAGCGCACGUAGGCGGCUUUUUAAGUCAGGGGUGAAAUCCUGGAGCUCAACUCCAGAACUGCCUUUGAUACUGAGAAGCUUGAGUCCGGGAGAGGUGAGUGGAAUGCGAGUGUAGAGGUGAAAUUCGUAGAUAUUCGCAAGAACACCAGUGGCGAAGGCGGCUCACUGGCCCGGUACUGACGCUGAGGUGCGAAAGCGUGGGGAGCAAACAGGG